AGCCUUCAUAGUACACGUGCCGGGGUCGUCCGAGUCUAACCACAAUGCUCAAAAAGUAGCCCUCCAACCUAGCCCUACCCUCUUUGUAAGCAGCAAUAAAGAAACAAGUGACUGCUUUCACAUUAUCAUUCUACAACGUGUGCAGUCUCCCGAAACUGGCCAAAUGCUGUGAGGUCUUCCUUUGAGGCCGUCGUUGCUGCUCGCUGUGACGACCCUCGUGUUGCUGCUGUUUGCGAUGGCCGUGGAAGCCCGCAGUGGUAAGAUGCAGUGGGCGCGCUUCACGUACUGCAUCACCAGGCGCGCGGGCCCAGUGCUGGCGACGCCCAGCGGAAGCUGCGCCUCCCGCAAGAUGCUGGGGCAGUUCCGCACCAUGAAUCGCGUCAACUGACAGAACUGCGACAAGUACUUCCACUGCAUGGCCAACUGGCUGGCGACGCGGAAGUGCCGGGGACGCUUCAACUUGCGCGUGGCCAAAGUAAUCAGCUACUGCCGGGAGUACUCACAACCUGGAGACCCAGCUGACAGGCACGGAGACGAGGAGGCUAACCGAUAUGGCCGGGGGGGUGGAAACUGCGGAGCACGCUACUUGCGCCCACGCAAAUGUGCCUACAACCCAAGAACGGGAAAAUGCAAGUGGUGAGGGCAGAAUACACGAGCAGCGCCUACUGAUACUACCGAUUGCAGUGUCCCCAAAGAGGCAUGUCUAUGCCAAAAAACCGUCUGUAUCUAUAGUGCAGAAUAAAACACGAAGAAACGACAAAGAGAGAGAGAA